UGGAUUUGAGAUUUAGACACAAUAAUGCACUUGAUACAAGAUCGUAGAGGACUCAAGGAACUCCGACCUAAAGCCAUAGGGAGUUAGAAGGUGUACAUGAGGAAUAAUGCUGCUGAAGAUGUGCUAGGGAUUAACUUUCACUAAGACUUAAUAACCACAUCUUUGCAUGAGAAAGUUUGAUUUUAGAUUUAUUUUAUUUAUUCUUGACAUAGAAUGUGAUAAUGCACCCCUUGCUUUAUUUGUUAUAUUGAAUAAAUCUGUUGUAUCAGAAUCUAUAAAAUAAAAAGCGAGAUUAGGUCACAUUGGAAAGGACCAUAUGACAA